rnacentral:lncRNA from 1 species
AUAAUAAAUUCCUUUAGAUUUAUACCAUCAAAAGUAAAAGUUAAAAUCCACAAGUACAAUAUUCCUAAGGAUCAAAUGAGGAUCAAAAGAAUGUAGAAGGAUUACAAUUAAUAAGUCUAGAAAGGUUAAAUACAUCAAAUCCUUUCAUCACUGAAGCUAUGCUAAGGAGCCAAAACAAAAGAUAAAAAAUAUGUGCAAUAUCAUUAAAAUUCAUCCAAAGCACUACAAUAUAACUAAUAACCCCAAAUUCAAUCAAAAUCCUCUUCUAAGAAGCCACCUUAAGCUGCAAAAUGUUAAUAGUGGAGUCAGCAAGCACUUUGCUCAAUAACCAGCCUAUGCACUUCCUUAUCAAUUUGAGCAUGCUACCAUAUAAAAGUACAUUAAGCAAAGGAUAUCAUAUUUACAAUUAAAAUAUGAGUAAAUUUUAUAUACACUAUCACGAUUGGAUGGAUGACACAUAAGUAAAUUUUGGAUUUCAAAUUCAAAUUUUAUACAUGUGACAUAUAUCUAAUGAUGAUAGUGUAUACACUAACAGUGUGUAUAAAAUUAAUCUUUAAAAUAUACGGCACAUGUGAAUUUUAAGUUUAUAUCCAAUGCAUAGCCAUAAUUCACAAUUCAUACAUUAAGUUAAGAUUACCUAGUUUCAAUUAACCUUGGAUACUAGUUCUAAUUGUUCAUCCCGUUAGGGAGGUCACAUCAUGAAAUUUCUGACUAUUCAUCCUAUCAGGUAAGUCACAUCAUGCAAAUCCUGACUAUUCAUCCCAUUAGGUAAGUGGUAGGUCAUAUCAUGCAAUUCAUGACUAUUCAUCCCUUUAAGGAGGUCAUAUCAUGCAAUUCCUCACUAUUUAUCUCUUAGGUAGAUCGCAUCAUACAAGUUCAAAUAACAACGCUUCAAAUCACAUAGCAAAUGGAAACAUGAUCAUAUUGAUCCUAAAAUUUAUAUAAUGAAAAUAAAGUAAUUAAUGUUGUUGAAAUUCAUAAAAUACAUUACAAAACAUAAGGACUACACAAACUACUUACCUUCACCAAAUGAACUAGCAUCCAGCUCAACUCCAAACUGUCCCAAUAAAAUUUACUUCCCCACCUUGAUAUGCAAAAGAGCUUAAUUUAAACUAUAAAAACUUUGAACCAUGCUAAUUUAUCAUAAAACAGACUGUAAACAAUACCCUUAACCAAUAACCCAUAGUAAAGAUCAUCUCCUCACUUAAGCAGAACACAUAUGUCAAGUCUAAAGAUUCACCAACUUUGAUAGAUAUAAAACUAGAGUGAAAUCUUUAUAUUAAGUCUAGUUUCAAAUGCAAUAAAUGGCGCUCAAUUUUGAGUUUUUGAACAAAAAUAUGGUCGAAACACUAAGCUGAUGCAAAGCAAAAAAAAAGUUUCUAGUUUUCUCUUCUAAGCUCCAUUCCCACCUCAAACCAUCUCCGAACUCCUAGCCAUCAAAAUGCCACAAUCUCACUUCCCACAACCAUAUUAUAGCAUAAACAAACUUAGAAACAAAGUAUUAAAGCUAAAUCAUGCAACUUCUAUUAAGAUUUCCUAUCUCUUAAAACACCCAAAAACCCUCAAAUUUUACUUCUCACUAAAUUGACCCAACUUUUAUGGCAUCACCAAAUUUAGACAAGAUACUAAACUAAAAAUCAUAAUAUUCCUACAAAAAUCAUUAUUCUUUAAGAAUACCCAAAAUCCAUCUUAACUAUCUAUUAAAUCUAACCAAGAAAUUAAUAAUAAAAAAAUCACUUACCUUGCAAAAGAGGCUAACGGUGAAGUCUCAAUCUUUCUACUAGUUUUGGAUCUUGGUUGGGUGUAUAUCACUUUGAGUGUAAGAAGGAAAUAGAGAGAUUUAGGGACGGAAGAGAAGAAAAAGGAAAGGAAUUGGUAAAAUUUGGAAUAGUGGUUUUCCACUAACCACUCAUAUAUUUUUGAAUCUAAGCUUUCUCGUUUGCUCAAAUAAUCUUCACUUUCUUAAGUUUCAUAAUUUAAAUCCCCAAAGUUAUGUAUUCUCCUCUAAGACCCCCAAUGGAAGACUUGGAUAUCACAAAAAUUGUUUCAACUGAAAAAUUUGUAUCCAUGCGUUUGAAAAUGCAAGUGUGGAUAAUAAAAAAAUAUUUUUUUUGCCAAAUUCAAACUUGUGAUCACAAAGUAGCACUUUUUCUUUUUCCUUUCUUCUUCCUUCUCUAUACUAAUUUUUGUUUCCCAGAAUCACUAUUACUACCACAACUGCUAGUUCCACCACCUUAAAUUUUCCAUUUUAGCUUUGAAACACAUAUCUCUUACCAUCCAAAUGUCACCCAAGGAUCUUACAGGAGAAAGAAAAUGGCCAAAGGAGAUGGCGAACACUAUCACCACUGCACACGGAGGAGAAGGAGAACACUCCUGGCUCCAUAGACACAUCCAUUGAUCAUUCUUUAGUAGAUGCAGCAACUAGCAAUCACCAUUUCCACCACUUGUCAUCAAAUCAAGUUACCAGGCUUCAUAUGGAGAUGGCUGGGGAAUGAAAAUUUGCGUAUGAGAACAUAGAGAUAUCUAGGUUUAAUGAUUUUUAUAUUAUUUUCAACAUCAAGUUGUUUGUUUUUAUUUUCAAGGACACCAAGAUAUGCUGUCUUUGGAUAUGUUUUUGCCCUUUGUCUUAGUUUUUGAUUAGAUGUGUGAUAAUGGCCACUAGCGUAUGCAUCUACUUUGAAUUCUUCGGCGUCAGUAAACCUACCGUGAUGCUGACAGUAGCUUAUUGCUGAAUACGCUGGCAUAACGAAAGGUUGAGAAUUGGGGGC